CCCUUCCUUCAAUCUUCCGGGCUGCGCCGGCCCUUGUGCCUCUGGUUCCGCCUUUUUUGGGGCGUGGCCGACCGGACUCCACCUCUCCCCCGGGAAGCACCGGCCCCGCCGCGCCCUCCCGAGUACUUUUGGGGUCGUGGGUUCAGUCAACCCAUAGUUCCUAAGCUUCUUCCGUGUUCCAGCCCUGUUCUAGUCGCUGGGUAUACAGCGCUAGGCAAAGCAGCGUGCAGUGGGACCUUCUGGAGAGUUCUGAGGAAAGGAGUGAUGUGCUCACACUCUGUUUCUGAGGUGAACCAUCUCUACCCUCAGUCCCCACAGCUGAGAUGGGAACAAGGCCUCCGGGCCAGGGCAGGACUUACCGGCUUUAACUUCAUUCAGAUGAUCUUCCGUCAUGAUGCUCUCCAUGCAGGGGACCAGGGACCCUUGAGCAUAAUCUGAGAGGCUAAGCGCAGUGCCUGACACAGAGAAGAGGAUCAAUCAACGUUUGCGGCAUAAGCCGAUGAGUGCAUGCACGGACGACAGGAUGGAUGAAAAACUGCAAGUACAGAUUGCUUUGGUGGAAGAGAACUGCUGGCCCAAAGUCAUGUCCCUUCCCAGGCUGGCUGGCAUCCAAUGACAAGGCAACCUCAAGACCUUCUUCAAGGGACAGAACCGGAAACUGACAGACGGCUCGGUCUAUGUGGAAACCUGACCCCUAGUUCCAAUGUGAGGAAUCUCAGCAUAGUGUUGGCUGAGACUUCCCCUGAAACUACACUGCAGCUUGACUCCUCCCCCUGCCACUCCUGCUCUCUGCCCUUCCUUCCACAGGGACUGAUCCCAAGGGUGCUCCCUAAUAAACCUCCUGCAUGCCAAUCUCUGCCUCAGAGUCUGCAUCCUGGGGGACGCGGCCCAUAACAACAGGGAAGGUAGAUGGGACUAGAUGGCAAAGCUUCCCAAAUUGUAUGUGGAGGAACCAGGCUGCAUCCUGCAGUGCAGCAUUUCACUGUAUAUAUGGCUCUCUUCUACUGCAGGAUGUUCUUAGGUGUUAUCUCGAAAGGGAGUUCUGUGGUUAAAUAACUUUGGGAAACCAUGAAUUAACCAUGAAACAUUUCCUCAGCACAGAACAUCUCAGAGCUUUAAUGUACCGAUGGUACUGCAAAUCCCCAAGAGGAAGAUGACGAUGCCGUAUUUCCCAAACUUAUUUGUCUUGGAACUUCUUUUCUCCCCUGUGGGGCAUAUCUUGUAGGACUGGUGUUGCAAAGAAUACACACUGGGAAUUACUGUUGUAGAAAAGGGAGCCAAUGGAGCCCUUCAAGCAGGGAUAUAAUAUAGACAGACUGUGUUUUAACUAGACCAUUUUGGUGGCCUGAAUGGGGAGUGGACUGGAGGGAAUGAGAUUCAAGGCUUGGGGACCCAAUGGAUGGCUGGACCAAUGGCCCUGCUGAGAGACAUCCAUGACCUGAACUAAGGGUAAUGAUAGUGGGGAGGGGGAGGGAAAGACAGACUCAGAGGUAUUAAGGAUAUUUAAGAUUGAUCAAAGGUGAAGGUGAGGGAGAGGAAUAAGCCUCAGUUAGUUUUAGGUUUCAGCUUUUGGGGAUCUAGAGGGACAGAGCAGAACUGACAUGGGAUAGGCACAAGUUCAGAAGAGAUGCUGAGCUUAAGGUGUGUGUGGUUCAUUGGGGGAGAUGUCGGUAAGCCAUGGAGAGGGAACACCAGAAGUGGAGAGAGGAGUAAGAGACAAAGAUGAACUUCCAGGAGCCAACGACUCGUAGGUGGUCAUGGAAUUGUCAGUAAGGAUGCUCAGGUAAAAAGAAAAAAGAGGCAAGGAAAGAACCUGCCACCUCCAACACACUCAGAAGGACCCACUGUAGUCUUGGAAG